UACGUAGGGUGCAGGCGUUAAUCGGAAUUACUGGGCGUAAAGCGUGCGCAGGCGGUUUGCUAAGACAGGUGUGAAAUCCCCGGGCUUAACCUGGGAACUGCGCUUGUUACUGGCAGGCUUGAGUGUGGCAGAGGGGGGUGGAAUUCCACGUGUAGCAGUGAAAUGCGUAGAGAUGUGGAGGAACACCGAUGGCGAAGGCAGCCCCCUGGGCUAACACUGAUGCUCAUGCACGAAAGCGUGGGGAGCAAACAGG
rnacentral:rRNA from 1 species